GGCCAGUAUGAUGUACUUGACAGUCAAACUAUCAUUCUUCCACAUCUUGUAUGUAGAUACCUCCUCCUCUGUGGCAUCAUCCCCAAUCUCUUAUGGUUCGAAGAUGUCAGGAAUAUAAGAGAACUUCUCCUGAGUGAGUAUGAUCUUUAAAUUUCUCAACCAGUCCAUAUAAUUGAGAUCGGUCAGCUUGUUGGAAUCUAAAAUUCCUCGCAAUGAUAGUGAAGAUGUCAUUUUUAGAAUUUAAUCUAUAAUAAUUAAGGAACAU
rnacentral:lncRNA from 1 species